AAUGGCUGCACGCGGGAGGUGAGGCCCGAGCGAAGAAAAGUGGAAAAGAGUGUUAUUCGUCAAAAAACCCACACAACGACGGUCAUUUUUUCGCCGUGCUAUUGUAAAAUUGUCUUUUAUCUGUGUUUUGUGUUCCGGGGGACCCCGACUCCAGAAUUAUUAUUUUUUAUUUUUUUAUUUUUUUAUUAAUCAAUCAACAAAACAAUACACAACAAUACCACAACAAUGCAAUCCAAUUCCAAAACCAAACCCGUCCCACCAAUGUUAGAAUAACAACAAACAGAGCAAUUGAGAGCAAUUGAGGACACACAAACAUGACACGGAACAAUACAAAUGACUCCAGAAUUUGAAAGUUAGCGCGUGAAGCCGUGGAGCUCGAGAUCCUGUUUACUGUGGACUAGCUGUGUGUGACGCCCUGUUGUUUUUGUUUCCAUUAAAAAAAAAAGGUGCUGUGAGAAAAAAAUGUGUUGACAAGGUCAGCCACGGACGCUGAGGUCACCAAACACGCCAUCAGGUGGUUCAACUUGGCGGGGGAUCGGGCAACGAGGAGACGAGUCCCGCUUCCACCUCCUCAGGAGGAAUAGAGAUGUAUAUGUAUAA